UGGGGAGCCUCUGCUUUGUGACAUACAAGGGAAACCAUGGAAAUCAAGGAAGAGGCUGUGGCUCAGAAUGUCCUGGGAGCUGUGGGCCCAGACAAGGUUGGAAACCGUGGCCUGGCAUCUUCCCUGCUGUAGAAGCGGAAGAUGAAAUGGUGACUCCUGCGGCGGGCAUCGCCAUGCGUCAGGGUGAGCUCCGGGGCAGGUGGAGGCAGCAAAGGCCUCUCAGGACCGCGGAAGGGCCUCAUCAGCCACCACAUCCCCACCUGCGGGCGUGACAGCCUCAUCAUCUCCUCCAGAAAGCAACACUGUCAGCCACACAUCAGGAACUGUCAGCCUCAAAUUCAACAUUCCUCAUUCUUGAACCAAUUUACCAAAACUUUAUCUUCAUAAAAAGAGUCCAGGUAACAAGAUGAUAACGUGGCCCUGCUGCCGUGAGCAGGGAAACAGCAUGAAGCCUUGCUUCCCUUCAAGUAUUUAGUGCCAGCUGCAGGGACAGAGAGACCUGUAAAUAAUUGUGGCUUUACAAGGAAACAAGGGAAGGCCAUCGGGACUUCCAGACACAGGGAUGACAAGUUGUUUUCCUCACUUCUGGAAUAAAU
rnacentral:lncRNA from 1 species